GGUAGAGAGGACGAUUGGGAAGUCAUCAGGCUCAUCAUCUGAAGAAGCGGGUUCGACCCCCGUCUCUACGG
rnacentral:tRNA from 1 species